CCGUCUUCUGCGUGGCUCACGCUGGGAGCUGUAGACCGGAGCUGUUCCUAUUCGGCCAUCUUGGCUCCUCUUGCUCUUCCAGAUCCUGGAAUCAGAAUUCACUGAGGAGAUGUUUUUGUUCCAAGACCCUCUCCAGUAAAGGCAGGAUGGUCAUGAAUAGACAAUGCCAUGACUCCCCUUCCCCAUGAGCUCACCUCUGUUUCCCACUUCAACAGACAGAGGGAAUUUAAUAUGAGGAACUCGUGAUAAAACUAUUGGAAAAGCCACGAGGGCUAAGAAGGGCUACAGGAAGCUACCACUCAUUCAAGGACUGGAGGAAAAAUGGGAAGAAGGUGCUGUUACCAGAGUCCAGGAGCCGGGGCUUCCUGGCAGGAGGUGGGACUCCGAAGGAAUCACAACCACUGCUGGAGAAUGGACAACAGAGACAAGGCCAAUCCCCUGGAAUCUCUCUCUCCUUUGAAACCUACGGUUUCAUACCAGGGUUUCCAUUUCAGAAACCCAGAUGAAUAUCAGUUGACAAAGUGUUUGUAGAGUGAAACACCCUGAAUACAGAGCAGAGCAAAGAGGAAAAUGGGGUCGAAUCUGAGAGCAGACAGGUGAAUGACUAGCACAGAUGCAUCACUCUUGAUUGAUUACUAUAUAAUGCCACAGGUCUAAGGCACCAUGUCUCACUCUAGGUGUAUGCCUGGGGAUAUGUGGUGAUACCUUAGAAUUUUGAGGAGCCCAUGAGGCAGCAUACUCUGUUGAAGUCUGAAGACAUAUAUUUGGAUUCUUAAAAUACUGUGACAGCAGAUUAAAGAUGAGAAAUUACCCAGAGCUGAGUCUGAUAUAUGCUGUUAGUAUACUUCAAUUCAGCCUGAUUUCUGAAAUCAAAGGACUUUAAGACAACCAUGUGUGAAUCAUUAAACAUUUUAAUGUCAAUAAGUUACUUUAAUAUUCAAAUAGUCAUAUAAGUAAAAUGCACAUGACUUUUAAAGACAGAAAAUGAAACCUAAAGAAAUCUUCUCCUUCCCAGGAUGUAAUCCUCACUGCCAGACCUCAGUCACUGUACUAAGCCCCAGACAAGAAAUAUUAAACAUGGUGUCUGGCCUCAGUGAACUUACUGACUUUUGGGGGAGAAAAAAAGUAACAAAAACAUUUUAAAAACACACACAUGAAAAAUAUUGCAAAACAAAUAUUGAACUAUUUAGGGAACAUACAUUUAUUAGUUACCUACUAAAGAACGCCCUGUGCUAGAAAACUGAUUCAUUUAUUCAAAAACAUUUCUUGAUUAUCUACUAAUUGCCAGCCUGGUAAUAAAUGGAAUGUGUUAGUUGCAUUAAAGAUAAAAAUCUGGUUUGUAGGCUUGUCUUCUCCAUUACACUCUAAGCUCACUGAAGAUAGGGGCUCUGCUUUAUUUAUCUUUUGAAUUCUCAGAGUUUACUUCAGUAUCUAACCAAUGCAAAGUACUCAAUAAAUAUUGUUGACCCAAGAAAUGACUGUCUACCUUAAACCUGUUUAUCUGUACUAUCACCAAGUCUCACCCACAGUUUUGCUUUUUAUCCAUUUGGUUGUCUAUUUGCCACCAUCCUGCCAACUCGCCCCACCCUGCACCUAGAAUAAUCAUGUUCUUUACCCAAACUCUAAACCAGUUCCUUUCCAAGGAGGUCCACUGAUUAAGCUAUGUAGUAAAUUGAAAAAAAAAAAAAAUGAACUACUGAUACCAGCACAAACAUGCAUACAGACAAAAUUAAAUUUUAAAAAAUUCCCACAAAACAUUCUGAAAAAUGUGAAGUGUGUUUGAAAUCACCUAAUUUCCUAUUGCAGUUAAUGUCACUACCAAACUUCUUAACCAAACUUAUGUUGCCCUAGUAGUUCCAGGCAUAGCACCUUGUCCAUUUGUCUUGCUGGAUCUCAGUUUAAUCCAGGAAGGGUCUUUGCUGAUGUCCAAGUCAUUAUCCCAGAGCUGCAUCAUGUAAAAUUCAUUGCA
rnacentral:lncRNA from 1 species